GAUGAACGCUGGCGGCGUGCCUAAUACAUGCAAGUCGAGCGAACAGACGAGGAGCUUGCUCCUCUGACGUUAGCGGCGGACGGGUGAGUAACACGUGGAUAACCUACCUAUAAGACUGGGAUAACUUCGGGAAACCGGAGCUAAUACCGGAUAAUAUAUUGAACCGCAUGGUUCAAUAGUGAAAGACGGUUUUGCUGUCACUUAUAGAUGGAUCCGCGCCGCAUUAGCUAGUUGGUAAGGUAACGGCUCACCAAGGCAACGAUGCGUAGCCGACCUGAGAGGGUGAUCGGCCACACUGGAACUGAGACACGGUCCAGACUCCUACGGGAGGCAGCAGUAGGGAAUCUUCCGCAAUGGGCGAAAGCCUGACGGAGCAACGCCGCGUGAGUGAUGAAGGUCCUCGGAUCGUAAAACUCUGUUAUUAGGGAAGAACAAAUGUGUAAGUAACUAUGCACGUCUUGACGGUACCUAAUCAGAAAGCCACGGCUAACUACGUG
rnacentral:rRNA from 1 species